UACGUAGGGUGCGAGCGUUAAUCGGAAUUACUGGGCGUAAAGCGUGCGCAGGCGGUUUUGCAAGUCAGGUGUGAAAUCCUCGGGCUUAACCUGAGAAUGGCGCUUGAAACUACAAGGCUAGAGUGUGUCAGAGGGAGGUAGAAUUCCACGUGUAGCAGUGAAAUGCGUAGAGAUGUGGAGGAAUACCGAUGGCGAAGGCAGCCUCCUGGGAUAACACUGACGCUCAGGCACGAAAGCGUGGGGAGCAAACAGG
rnacentral:rRNA from 1 species